CAGUCGCCGCGGUAAUACGAAGGGGGCUAGCGUUGCUCGGAAUUACUGGGCGUAAAGGGCGCGUAGGCGGGUCGUUUAGUCAGAGGUGAAAUCCCGGGGCUCAACCUCGGAGCUGCCUUUGAUACUGGCGACCUUGAGGAUGGGAGAGGUGAGUGGAACUCCGAGUGUAGAGGUGAAAUUCGUAGAUAUUCGGAAGAACACCAGUGGCGAAGGCGACUCACUGGCCCAUUUCUGACGCUGAGGCGCGAAAGCGUGGGGAGCAAACAGGAUUAGAUACCCCGGUAGUCCCUGUCUCUUAUAC
rnacentral:rRNA from 1 species